GGCGGAGCGUAGCCGGAGGUGUCGGGCAGCGGCGUCUGGGAGGUGUCGGUCUGCGCGAAGUCGAAGGCGCUCGUGAGGUCGCCGCAGACGGCCCGCCGCCA
rnacentral:tRNA from 1 species